GGCAAGGUGGCCGAGUGGUCUAAGGCGCUGGUUUUAGGUAAUACAAUUACUGAAACACCAGUUCGAAAGAGCGUGGGUUCGAAUCCCAUCCUUGUCA